AAUAGAAAGAUGAUCUUGUUUAUUAUUGGGGAUAGAAGUUGUUGUACCAAAUGCAACUUCAUUUAUAAAUCCCAUAUUAUAGCUAAUACUGAGCAAUUAUCCAUUUCAACUUUUAUGAAUACUUGCUUAAAGCAUGGAUACAAGGAAACAAAACUGUAGCUGUGAAGCACUACAGAGAAAUGUGGGAAACAUCAAUGCAAGGUCUGGUGAGCUUGGUCCGGAAAACCAAGCCAUCCUCUUUCUCAUACAUUUGUGAGAAAAAUGGUGAUUCUCUAUCUCACAAGAUGGAUGAAUUAGCAUGCUUUGUUCCAAGGAUGUUGGCUCUAGGAUCAUUUGGUUAUAACUCUGAAAAUUCUUCUUUUUCUGAGAAAUUCCUAUCGCUUGCAAAAGAGGUUA